UUUAGCCUACGGGGGGCAGCAGUGAGGAAUAUUGGUCAAUGGUCGGGAGACUGAACCAGCCAAGCCGCGUGAGGGAUGAAGGUACAGAGUAUCGUAAACCUCUUUUGUCAGGGAACAAAGGCGGGGACGUGUCCCCGGAUGAGUGUACCUGAAGAAAAAGCAUCGGCUAACUCCGUGCCAGCAGCCGCGGUAAUACGGGGGAUGCGAGCGUUAUCCGGAAUGAUUGGGCGUAAAGGGUGCGUAGGCGGCCUGCUAAGUCUGGAGUGAAAGGUACCGGCUCAACCGGUACAGGCUCUGGAGACUGG
rnacentral:rRNA from 1 species